UACGGAGGGUGCAAGCGUUAUCCGGAUUCACUGGGUUUAAAGGGUGCGUAGGUGGAUUGGAAAGUCAGUGGUGAAUCUCCGGGCUUAACUCGGAGACUGCCAUUGAUACUAUCAGUCUUGAAUACCGUGGAGGUCAGCGGAAUAUGUCAUGUAGCGGUGAAAUGCAUAGAUAUGACAUAGAACACCAAUUGCGAAGGCAGCUGGCUACACGAAUAUUGACACUGAGGCACGAAAGCGUGGGGAUCAAACAGG
rnacentral:rRNA from 1 species